rnacentral:rRNA from 1 species
CCUACGGGGGGCAGCAGUGAGGAAUAUUGGUCAAUGGACGAGAGUCUGAACCAGCCAAGUAGCGUGAAGGAUGACUGCCCUAUGGGUUGUAAACUUCUUUUAUAUGGGAAUAAAAUGUUCCACGUGUGGGAUUUUGUAUGUACCAUAUGAAUAAGGAUCGGCUAACUCCGUGCCAGCAGCCGCGGUAAUACGGAGGAUCCGAGCGUUAUCCGGAUUUAUUGGGUUUAAAGGGAGCGUAGGUGGAUUGUUAAGUCAGUUGUGAAAGUUUGCGGCUCAACCGUAAAAUUGCAGUUGAAACUGGCAGUCUUGAGUACAGUAGAGGUGGGCGGAAUUCGUGGUGUAGCGGUGAAAUGCUUAGAUAUCACGAAGAACUCCGAUUGCGAAGGCAGUUCACUGGACUGCAACUGACACUCAGGCUCGAAAGUGUGGGUAUCAAACAGGAUUAGAUACCCUAGUAGUC